rnacentral:rRNA from 1 species
UUAUGGCUCAGGAUGAACGCUAGCGACAGGCCUAACACAUGCAAGGUCGAGGGGCAGCGCGGAGUAGCAAUGCUUGGCGGCGACCGGCGCGCGGGUGAGUAACACGUAUGCAACCAACCCAGUAACAGGGGGAUAACCCGGAGAAAUCCGGACUAAUACCGCAUAAGACCACGAUAUCGCAUGAUAUAGAGGUCAAAUAUUUAUAGGUUAUGGACGGGCAUGCGUCUGAUUAGCUGGUUGGCGGGGUAACGCCCACCAAGGCAUCGAUCAGUAGGGGUUCUGAGAGGAAGGUCCCCCACAUUGGAACUGAGACACGGUCCAAACUCCUACGGGAGGCAGCAGUGAGGAAUAUUGGUCAAUGGGCGAAAGCCUGAACCAGCCAUGUCGCGUGAAGGAAUGAAGGUCCUAUGGAUUGUAAACUUCUUUUGCAGGAGGGUAAAGUGAGCUACGUGUAGUUCAUUGCAAGUACCCUGCGAAUAAGCAUCGGCUAACUCCGUGCCAGCCGCAGC